rnacentral:pre_miRNA from 1 species
UGUUAAAAGUUUCAUUCAUUUUUAAAAACCGAAAUGACUGACAGAAAACUAGAUAGUGUGCCAUGUGUACCUCAUGUUGACGUACAGUGUCCGGUUUUUAAUAGUAGAAAUGGAUGGAAUUUUAACA